rnacentral:rRNA from 1 species
UAAUACGGAGGGUGCAAGCGUUAUCCGGAAUCAUUGGGUUUAAAGGGUCCGCAGGCGGUCUUAUAAGUCAGUGGUGAAAGCCUACAGCUCAACUGUAGAACUGCCAUUGAUACUGUAAGACUUGAAUUCGAUCGAAGUGGGCGGAAUAUGACAUGUAGCGGUGAAAUGCUUAGAUAUGUCAUAGAACACCGAUAGCGAAGGCAGCUCACUAGGUCUGGAUUGACGCUCAGGGACGAAAGCGUGGGGAGCAAACAGGAUUAGAUACCCUGGUAGUCCACGCCGUAAACUAUCAAUACUCGUUCUCAGCCCUUCAGGGGUUGGGGACCAAGCGAAAGUGAUAAGUAUUGCACCUGGGGAGUACGAUCGCAAGGUUG